UACGUAGGGAGCAAGCGUUGUCCGGAAUCAUUGGGCCUAAAGCGCGCGUAAGUGGCUUCGUAAGUCCGUUGUGAAAGUCAAAGGCUCAACCUUUGAAUGCCGAUGGAUACUGCGGAGCUAGAGUACGGAAGAGGCGAGUGGAAUUCCUGGUGUAGCGGUAAUGCGCAGAUAUCAGGAGGAACACCAAUAGCGAAGGCAGCUCGCUGGGACGUUACUGACACUAAGGCGCGAAAGCGUGGGGAGCGAACAGG
rnacentral:rRNA from 1 species